UUUUCUUCAUUAUGGCCGGCCAAAGCAUGAAGUGAAGAAGAACAAAGAAAGAACAAAACCUAGGUGGGAAAAUUGAAGAAAAAGUGUGGGAUUUCAAGGUAUUAAGCUAAUAAAGGUAAAUUUUUGUGAUUUUAUCUUGUGGUUUACACUACCUAUGCUUUCUUUUUCAUUUUCCAUGCUUAGAACUCAAGUUUUCAUGGUGAAUUCAUGCCUGACCAAAUGGGUAUGGAGAGAGAACGAAGUUGGAUUGAUUUGAUUCUAAGUUAUGUUAGUGUUUUUAGUUAGUUUAGCAUAUUUAGAAACAAAACAACAAGAAAAAAAAUUCAUUUUCUCCCAUUACCCAUAAGAGGCCGAAUUUUCUAGGGAGGAUAUUGAGGCUGAAAUUGAUGAUAUUUCAUGAUAUUUUGGUGAUAUUUAAUGAUUGGUGAGGCUAGAAAUUUAAUAGAAAAUUUUGGCAUGAAAAUCUGAAUUUUGACCUAAUGUAUAGACAUGUGCGAUUUAUCAUUCAGACUGAUAAAUUGAAUCAAAUUGUGAGACCUUGUCAAGCUCGAUUAAAAGACAAUAUUGUACUGAGUGGUACAACUAAGUUAAAUUGAACCUUCAACUAGUUCAAAUAGGAAUUCUAAGAGGAAAUUGAAAAUUUUGAAACCCACAGAAUAGCUUAGAAUAGUGAUUCGGAGUUCAAGGUUCAGUUUCGAGUCCAUCAGGAAAAUUGAUCGAUUAGGGACAAAACGGUUAUUUUAGCAUUUGAUAAUAAAAUGGAGAUUUUUAGCCAAGAUUUUAUCACAUUUGACCAAGAAUAAUUAUAUGAAAUAUAAUUAUGAUUAUUGGAGUAUAAAAUGAUGUUUAGUAGUGAAAAAUUAUGAUUCUCGGUAUUUUUGGAGCACAAGGGUAAAAUGGUAAUUUUGUCACUAAAGGACUAAACGAUAAUUUUUAUAAAAUGAUUUUUGCCCCAUUUAGUUAAUAUUGAUCAAUAUUAGUGUUAUUUGAGGUUGAAAAGUAGAAAUAAUGUGAUUCCGGUACAUUUCGAAGUAUAGGGGCAAAAUCGUAAUUUUUUCAUCUCGGGGGCAAAUCGGUAAAUUUUUCGUCCCAACACUUGUCAAGACCAAGGGAUUUUAAUUGUGGUAGGAUUGGAUAAAUACCAGAAUAUUUGUGGUGGAAAAUUAAGAAGAAAAAGUUAAAAAGUUAAAAAAAUUGGGCCAAUAAGCAUGUGACACGUGGCAUGCUUAAUUAUUUUAUUAUUUUCUAUAGAAAUCAGCCCAUUAAAUCCCCAAUUCUCUCACCAUAAUCAGCCUAGGCAACCAGCAACAAGAGCAAAGGAAGAACAAAGGGAAAAACAANGAAGAGGGGAAAGCUCAAUCCAAGAUACAUUGGACCCUUUCGUAUCAUUGAAAUGAUUGGGCCAGUGGCUUACAGACUUGAAUUACCCCUGGAGUUAGAUCGGAUUCAUAAUGUCUUCCAUGUCUCAAUGUUGAAAAAGUAUGUUUCUGAUCCCUCUCACAUUCUAGAGACACCUCCCAUUGAGUUGCAUGAAGAUUUGAAGUUCGAGGUGCAGCCUGUACGUAUUCUAGAUCGAAAGGAUCGAGUGCUAAGGAACAAGAGUAUUCCAAUGGUGAAAGUAUUGUGGAAAAAUGCUCGAAUGGAAGAGAUGACGUGGGAAGUCGAGCGCUAGAUGAGAAAACAAUAUCCACAUCUUUUCUUAGAAUCCGGUAAGUGAAAUUUUGAGGUCAAAAUUUUAUUUUUAAGGGGGGUAGUGCUGUAAAGCCUAACCUUAUAAAAUGCUUGUCAUGACAUACAUGUGAUGAUAGCAUGAUUGUAUGCUAAGAGAGUCCCAAAAAAUUUACAAAAGUAGGUAUUGUACCUAGAGGUACAACAAAGAUGAUUUAAGCCUCGAACCAGAUCAAAUAGGAAUUUUAAGGUGAGAUUAAGAGCUUCACAAUCCAUGGAUGACUCAAAAUGGUAAUUCGGAGUUUGAGGAUCAAUUUGGAGUCAAACCAGAAUUUUCACUGCCAGAGACAAAAUGGUCAUUUGCCACCUAGGGACAAAAUGAAAAUUUUUAGAAAAGAUGUUUUUUGCCCCAUUUGACCUAUUGGAGUAUGAUUUGAGCAUAGGAGUAUGAUUUGAGGUUGAAAAGUGAAAAAAAAAAUUGUGAUUUCGGUAUUUUUUGGAGCAAAGGGUAAAAUGGUAAUUUUGCCAUUUCAGGGGCAAAAUUACCAUUUUACACACCCGACACUUGUCCAGCACAUGGAUUUUAUCCAAUUUUAUCAUGGAUAAUUGAAGGGAUUUAUAUGGUGGAGAGAGAAAGCUUAAUAGUUAAGAAAUAAAAAUGGGCCAAUGAAAUGGUGACACAUGGCAUGUUAAUAUCCAUUUACUUUUUUUAGCUUUAAAAUCAACAAAAAUAAGCAUAUUUUCUUCAUUAUGGCCGGCCAAAGCAUGAAGUGAAGAAGAACAAAGAAAGAACAAAACCUAGGUGGGAAAAUUGAAGAAAAAGUGUGGGAUUUCAAGGUAUUAAGCUAAUAAAGGUAAAUUUUUGUGAUUUUAUCUUGUGGUUUACACUACCUAUGCUUUCUUUUUCAUUUUCCAUGCUUAGAACUCAAGUUUUCAUGGUGAAUUCAUGCCUGACCAAAUGGGUAUGGAGAGAGAACGAAGUUGGAUUGAUUUGAUUCUAAGUUAUGUUAGUGUUUUUAGUUAGUUUAGCAUAUUUAGAAACAAAACAACAAGAAAAAAAAUUCAUUUUCUCCCAUUACCCAUAAGAGGCCGAAUUUUCUAGGGAGGAUAUUGAGGCUGAAAUUGAUGAUAUUUCAUGAUAUUUUGGUGAUAUUUAAUGAUUGGUGAGGCUAGAAAUUUAAUAGAAAAUUUUGGCAUGAAAAUCUGAAUUUUGACCUAAUGUAUAGACAUGUGCGAUUUAUCAUUCAGACUGAUAAAUUGAAUCAAAUUGUGAGACCUUGUCAAGCUCGAUUAAAAGACAAUAUUGUACUGAGUGGUACAACUAAGUUAAAUUGAACCUUCAACUAGUUCAAAUAGGAAUUCUAAGAGGAAAUUGAAAAUUUUGAAACCCACAGAAUAGCUUAGAAUAGUGAUUCGGAGUUCAAGGUUCAGUUUCGAGUCCAUCAGGAAAAUUGAUCGAUUAGGGACAAAACGGUUAUUUUAGCAUUUGAUAAUAAAAUGGAGAUUUUUAGCCAAGAUUUUAUCACAUUUGACCAAGAAUAAUUAUAUGAAAUAUAAUUAUGAUUAUUGGAGUAUAAAAUGAUGUUUAGUAGUGAAAAAUUAUGAUUCUCGGUAUUUUUGGAGCACAAGGGUAAAAUGGUAAUUUUGUCACUAAAGGACUAAACGAUAAUUUUUAUAAAAUGAUUUUUGCCCCAUUUAGUUAAUAUUGAUCAAUAUUAGUGUUAUUUGAGGUUGAAAAGUAGAAAUAAUGUGAUUCCGGUACAUUUCGAAGUAUAGGGGCAAAAUCGUAAUUUUUUCAUCUCGGGGGCAAAUCGGUAAAUUUUUCGUCCCAACACUUGUCAAGACCAAGGGAUUUUAAUUGUGGUAGGAUUGGAUAAAUACCAGAAUAUUUGUGGUGGAAAAUUAAGAAGAAAAAGUUAAAAAGUUAAAAAAAUUGGGCCAAUAAGCAUGUGACACGUGGCAUGCUUAAUUAUUUUAUUAUUUUCUAUAGAAAUCAGCCCAUUAAAUCCCCAAUUCUCUCACCAUAAUCAGCCUAGGCAACCAGCAACAAGAGCAAAGGAAGAACAAAGGGAAAAACAAGAAAACCUAGGUGAAAAUUCAAAGAAAAAGUGAAGAAAUCAAGGAAACAAGCUAGGUAAGUUAGAAUUUCUUUAAUUCUCCUUGAUACCUAGCUUAUCCAUGCUUUUGUUCUUGAUUUCGAUGGUUGAAUAUUGAGUUAUCAUGAUGAAUUCAAUUCUGAAAAAUGGUUAUGGAAGAGGAAUUGUUGUUGGAAUAAUUUGAUUUUAGACUAAGUUAGUGUUUAGGGAUAGUUAAGCAUGGUUAUGAACAAAAACACAAAAGAAAUAUUCAAUUUCUCUAGGGUUCCUUGUUGGUCGAACCAUGAGGGCUGAAUAUCAAUGGGGGAUUGUUUUUAUUUCAAGGAAAAUGGCUUGGAAAAUGAUGAAUUAAGGUGAAACAGUUAUGUAGAAAAAAUUUUGGUGCUAGUUCACCAAAUGACCGAAUUUUUUUAUAAGGAACUGUGAGGGUUCUAAUGCUGAAUUUGGCUUUAUUUAAAUGGUAUGUGGUAAAUGAAGGUAUUAGAGGAGAAAUGGAUUAAUUUGGAGGUGAUUUGGACACAAUCUCCAAUUAAUCGAUGAUUGGUCAAAUUUAAUCGAUACCGCGAUUAAGCGGUAAUCGAACGUAUUUUUGCAUUUACAUAUCAAGCAUUAGUAAUUUAAAUUAGUUUAUAUCAAUUUAGGGACAAUAUAGUAAAUUCCUUGACUUUGUUAUUUGUCAAGGUAGUGAGAUGUCUAAAAAAGGCAAAGGAAUUGCGCUUGAGGACUAUUAGUUUGAGUGCACCCAAAAUCCGGAUUUUCGAUAUGGGUGAUUGGACUUGCAUUUCAAACUUGUUGUGGGGAAUAUGAAAGAUUCUAUCCAACUUGUCUUAGAAAAUGUACCUUGGGAACAAGCUUUUGUUAAAUGGUUUGAUGUUGUGAUAUGUGAUUACUAUGGAUUCAUGCAUUAUUGCAAUAUGAUGAUAUAUAUAUGUGUGUGUUGUGCAUGAUAAAUGUUAUUGUGUAUAAUGACUAUAACCGUGUGUGUGGACGAUGUGGGAAGAAUUAAGUUGGUUUUACCUGAUCUUUGGGAACUCUAACAUGUGAACAGGGGUGAAGCGUGGCUCUCUGCCCAGGGGCUUAUAAAGGAAAAGGCUACCCAAAGAGGUGGAGCUGCCCUAUGAGUGCUUUGAUAGGUACUGUUUGUCGCCUCCAUAGUGAAGGGGUUGAGUGGUAUGUCCCUCCCUAGUGACAAACUUGGUAUCAGAUUCCCAUUUUAUGGUGGUGUGAAAGGUGGAUGAUGAUAGUGCCCGUGUGCACGAUGUGGGGGGAUGUACACGGUGGCACUGAUUGUGCACGAUGCAGGGGGAAGGACACGAUGUGCCGGCUAUGUGCACGAUGUGGGUGUGAUUAUGAUGAUAUUGAUGUUUGUCUAUCUAAUUAUGCAUAUCUAGACUUAUGAAAUGAAAGCUCAUAAAUGUGAUAUAUGGUUGACAUAUAUAUGAAAUUUGAUACUUUGCACUUUGGGAAUUUUCAUGAGUUUUUUGUUGAUUUUGUUGGUUUAGUAGGGUGGCCUUUUUGUUGAGUGAAGGGAAACUUUUCCCUUGUUGCUCUGUUUCGCUGCAGCGAGAAACUCUCGAGUCUGAGGGCCUUCACCAGAACUGGUUCUCGCUACAGCGAAAAACUUUCUAUCCAUUUUGCUAACUUGUGGGUUUUUGCCAUAUUUCCCAUUUCUUUGGUACCAUAGUUGAGCAUGGAUUUUUGUAAAGUGAUUUACUCAUGUGGGGUUUACAUGAGGGGUUUAAAGGAGCUAAAACAAUUGCAUGGUUUUGAGAAAAUGAAUGCAUCAUGAUUUCGAUAAACAUUCCUUAUGGUAUGCUUGUUCCCUUCUUGUUCACUCACUGAGUAUUGUACUCACGUUUUAUAAAAAAUUCAUGUUUUCAGAUCAAGUGACUGUUGGACCCUAGAUCGAGGAGUGCCCGUAGUGUAUCUCCUGGGUAUGUGUCUGGCAUUCGAUAGUAAUCCCUUUUAUUGUAAAUGUCUCCGCUGGAAGUCAUGGGUCCUUUUGUAUUGUGAAUACAAUCUAAUAAUGUGAAUAUGUGUAUUCAAUGUAAAUUGCUAAAUACAUGACUGGUAUAGUGCAUGUAUGUUAUUAUCGAUAAUGCCAUUGUGUUUUGGCUAUGUUCACACUUGGGAAAAGGUGUGUGUGUAUGCAUGAUAUGAUAAAUUUGUUAAGCAAAGGUAAAUGGAUAGGCUUGCUUGGGCUUAGUGAGCUAUGCUCAUUGAGCUCAUGCGUCGGUCAUGGCCCGAAAAAAUUGGGUCGUGACACAUAUUCAUAGUCAUUGAGGUGUUUUAAGUAUAAUUGGAGUGUAGAAAGUGAAAGAAAUCGAUUUGGAGUUAAAUUGGAGGUUUUAGCCAAUUAGACCGAGAAUAGUGCGAAUUAGGUCGAAUACCGUAUUUAAAUGGCUAUUCGGACAUUUUUGCAUUCCAUAUCAUCCAUUAGUAGUCUAAAUUAGUUUAAUUUCGAUUUAGUACCAAUGUAGUAACUUUCUUGAUUUUGUACUAUGUCUAGGUGGUGAAUCCUUCGAUAAAAGCAAGGAAAUUGUACCCGAGGAUCAGUAGUCAGAGUACUCUAGAAACUUGACUCCCGAAAUAGUGAGUAACCUUACUAUCAUUUUAAUUAUCUAAAGUAUGUUUUUAUAAGGUUUUGGUGAAUUUUAUGAAAAUGAGUUCAAAUGGUAAGUUUUUAUGUUUUGUAAACAAAAUGUGUUUAAAUGAAAAGAUUUUAUAAAUUGUCUUGAAACGAAAUAAUGCUUUUAAAAAUAGAGUAAUUGGAGACCACUGGUAUGUUGUAAAUUUAUGAUUGAAAAUUGAUGGCUUAUGUUAUAUUGUUAUUGUGUUGGCAUGACUGGCUAGGCUGUAUUUUAUGAGUUGUAUGAAUUGUUUUAUGUUACCCUUGCAGGCUGGGUAGUAUUAUAUUAGCCCUGUCAUGCUGUUAAAAUUUUAUUAUAUGGUGGGUUUAGCUUGCUGCAGUAGGCAGAUUCUGUGGACCAGCCUAUUAGAGGGGCA
rnacentral:lncRNA from 1 species